rnacentral:pre_miRNA from 1 species
GCAACUAAACCAAGACUAUCCCACGAUUUAUUUGAAGAGCAAUAGCCAUUUGUACAGCUCACUUGUCAAAAAUGGCUAUUGCUCUUCAAAUAAAUCGUGGGAUAGUCCAGCUCACUUGUCAA